AUUGAACGCUGGCGGCAUGCCUUACACAUGCAAGUCGAACGGCAGCACGGGAGCAAUCCUGGUGGCGAGUGGCGAACGGGUGAGUAAAGUAUCGGAACGUGCCCAGUCGUGGGGGAUAACGUAGCGAAAGUUACGCUAAUACCGCAUACGAUCUAUGGAUGAAAGCGGGGGAUCGCAAGACCUCGCGCGAUUGGAGCGGCCGAUAUCAGAUUAGGUAGUUGGUGGGGUAAAGGCUCACCAAGCCGACGAUCUGUAGCUGGUCUGAGAGGACGACCAGCCACACUGGAACUGAGACACGGCCCAGACUCCUACGGGAGGCAGCAGUGGGGAAUUGUGGACAAUGGGCGAAAGCCUGAUCCAGCCAUGUCGCGUGCAGGAUGAAGGCCUUCGGGUUGUAAACUGCUUUUGUACGGAACGAAAAGGUUUGGCCUAAUAAGCUGAGCUCAUGACGGUACCGUAAGAAUAAGCACCGGCUAACUACGUGCCAGCCGCCGCGGUAA
rnacentral:rRNA from 1 species